CACGCUGGCACACCCCGCUGCCGGAGAACAAUCCAGCCACUGGAGCCGAAGAUCCACGGGCCGGACAUCAACGAGCCGGCAUCCCAAACCUCCACGGAUACGCCUCCGCAUAGGGAGUCCUGCUUAGCUCCGCAGAUCCGUGCAGGCCGCGACGAAGGCUGCCUCACCGACCACCACCAAGGCUACCUCGCCGAUAGACGCAGGCCCGCAGCCCCGACCUCUUCUACUGGCAUCAGGAAUCUGGCGACACAGAUGGUUCUAGGAACUCGCCCUCACCAAAAGAAGCAAAACGCAGGAACAAUGCCAGCUGCCAACCACCAGCCACCACGCACACCAGUCAGAUUGACAAGGCAAAGUGCAGCCAUGCCUUCGCCUGGAGGACACCCGCCACCUAAGCCAAGACAUCUCUUGCCUCCUAAGACCACUUCGAAAGCCACCCCUAAAAGAAAUGUCAUUUCCAGUAGUACCCAACAACAGGUCCAGGCCAGUACAACCACUACUGAGACCACUGAAACUACAAACCCAAUGUCUUUUCCUCCAAAAAUGACCAGGUCCACUCAAGCAAUGUCUUCACGAGUUCCAAACACAAUGCCUAGACCUACUAGAUACACAAGGACUAAAGGAACCAUGUCUACGCCUGGUGGACACACCAUGCAUAGUCCUCCUAGAUUCACUAGG
rnacentral:misc_RNA from 1 species